rnacentral:rRNA from 1 species
CCUACGGGAGGCAGCAGUAGGGAAUCUUCCGCAAUGGACGAAAGUCUGACGGAGCAACGCCGCGUGAACGAUGAAGGCCUUCGGGUCGUAAAGUUCUGUUGUUAGGGAAGAACAAGUGCUAGUUGAAUAAGCUGGCACCUUGACGGUACCUAACCAGAAAGCCACGGCUAACUACGUGCCAGCAGCCGCGGUAAUACGUAGGUGGCAAGCGUUGUCCGGAAUUAUUGGGCGUAAAGCGCGCGCAGGCGGUUUCUUAAGUCUGAUGUGAAAGCCCCCGGCUCAACCGGGGAGGGUCAUUGGAAACUGGGAAACUUGAGUGCAGAAGAGGAAAGUGGAAUUCCAAGUGUAGCGGUGAAAUGCGUAGAGAUUUGGAGGAACACCAGUGGCGAAGGCGACUUUCUGGUCUGUAACUGACGCUGAGGCGCGAAAGCGUGGGGAGCAAACAGGAUUAGGAUACCCUGGUAGUCCACGCUGUAAACGAUGAGUGCUAAGUGUUAGAGGGUUUCCGCCCUUUAGUGCUGAAGUUAACGCAUUAAGCACUCCGCCUGGGGAUACGGUCGCAAGACUGAAACUCAAAGGAUUGACGG